AUUGAACGCUGGCGGCAGGCUUAACACAUGCAAGUCGAGCGGAGUGAUGGUGCUUGCACUAUCACUUAGCGGCGGACGGGUGAGUAAUGCUUAGGAAUCUGCCUAUUAGUGGGGGACAACAUCUCGAAAGGGAUGCUAAUACCGCAUACGUCCUACGGGAGAAAGCAGGGGAUCACUUGUGACCUUGCGCUAAUAGAUGAGCCUAAGUCGGAUUAGCUAGUUGGUGGGGUAAAGGCCUACCAAGGCGACGAUCUGUAGCGGGUCUGAGAGGAUGAGCCGCCACAAUGGGACUGAGACACGGCCCAGACUCCUGCGGGAGGCAGCAGUGGGGAAUAUUGGACAAUGGGGGGAACCCUGAUCCAGCCAUGCCGCGUGUGUGAAGAAGGCCUUAUGGUUGUAAAGCACUUUAAGCGAGGAGGAGGCUCUUUUGGUUAAUACCCAAGAUGAGUGGACGUUACUCGCAGAAUAAGCACCGGCUAACUCUGUGCCAGCCGCCGCCGUAA
rnacentral:rRNA from 1 species